rnacentral:misc_RNA from 1 species
GUGAAUCAUCGAAUCUUUGAACGCAAAUUGCACUCUCCGGUUUUCCGGGAGAGUAUGCCUGUUUGAGGGUCAGCCUAAAAAAAAUCGACAUUGUUGCUGUUAUUUAAUGGUGACUUUCGUCGGAGAUUGGGUUAUCUUAAACCCUUUUUUUUUUUUUUUUUUACGACUCUAAAUUUUUGUUUUCACUAUCACUUACGCU